rnacentral:rRNA from 1 species
AUACGAAGGGGGCUAGCGUUGUUCGGAAUUACAGGGCGUAAAGCGCGCGUAGGCGGAUUGGUCAGUUAGGGGUGAAAUCCCAGGGCUUAACCCUGGAACUGCCUCUAAUACUGCCAGUCUUGAGUUCGGGAGAGGUGAGUGGAAUUCCUAGUGUAGAGGUGAAAUUCGUAGAUAUUAGGAAGAACACCAGUGGCGAAGGCGGCUCACUGGCCCGAUACUGACGCUGAGGCGCGAAAGCGUGGGGAGCAAACAGGAUUAGAUACCCCAGUAGUCC